rnacentral:rRNA from 1 species
GGCAGCAGUGGGGAAUCUUCCGCAAUGGGCGCAAGCCUGACGGAGCAACGCCGCGUGAGUGAAGAAGGCCUUCGGGUUGUAAAACUCUGUCAUCAGGGAAGAAGAAAGUGACGGUACCUGAGGAGGAAGCCCCGGCUAACUACGUGCCAGCAGCCGCGGUAAAACGUAGGGGGCGAGCGUUGUCCGGAAUUACUGGGCGUAAAGGGCGCGUAGGCGGUUAUCCAAGUCAGGGGUGAAAACCUUGGGCUCAACUCAGGGCCUGCCUCUGAAACUGGGUAACUUGAGGGCAGGAGAGGGGAGUGGAAUUCCCAGUGUAGCGGUGAAAUGCGUAGAUAUUGGGAGGAACACCAGUGGCGAAGGCGGCUCUCUGGCCUAACCCUGACGCUGAGGCGCGAAAGCGUGGGGAUCAAACAGGAUUAGAUACCCUGGUAGUCCACGCCGUAAACGAUGAGUACUAGGUGU